AUGCAGUCCGGUGAGGCAGCUGCCUGGGUGUCGUCAUCUAAUGAGGAAGCAGCCGUGACGGCAUCCUCCACUGGACCCCGUAUUGCUAUGGGCCAAGCAAAUAUACCCCUAUAUAAAGGAGGAAGUACACAUAUCUAUUACAUGGACAAGGCGGAUGCCUUUCGUAGAUGUCAAAGGCGGCUCGACGCCCUGGACUUGGGGGGCACCCUGACGCCAAAGCGUCGCAUAAAAGCAAUGUGUUUUAGCGUUUCUAUUAUGAUGAAUGUGCAAGUUAACUUUUUCAUCUGUUGUACAAUGCAUAUCUUUGUUAAGGUGAUGAAUGCCUUUUUCAUUUGCUUGAGGGUGGUAAUUCAUCUAUGA
rnacentral:rRNA from 1 species